UACGUAGGGUGCAAGCGUUGUCCGGAAUUAUUGGGCGUAAAGAGCUCGUAGGCGGUUUGUCGCGUCUGCUGUGAAAAACUCGGGGCUUAACCCCCGGGCCUGCAGUGGGUACGGGCAGACUAGAGUGCGGUAGGGGAGAUCGGAAUUCCUGGUGUAGCGGUGAAAUGCGCAGAUAUCAGGAGGAACACCGGUGGCGAAGGCGGAUCUCUGGGCCGAUACUGACGCUGAGGAGCGAAAGCGUGGGGAGCGAACAGG
rnacentral:rRNA from 1 species